GUGCAGCCUCCAGGACCCCCCCUCCCGGGAGAGCCAUAGUGGUCUGCGGAACCGGUGAGUACACCGGAAUCGCUGGGGCGACCGGGUCCUUUCUUGGAACAACCCGCUCAAUACCCAGAGAUUUGGGCGUGCCCCCGCAAGACCACUAGCCGAGUAGUGUUGGGUCGCGAAAGGCCUUGUGGUACUGCCUGAUAGGGUGCUUGCGAGUGCCCCGGGAGGU
rnacentral:other from 1 species